rnacentral:rRNA from 1 species
AAACCGUUCAGGGGUAAACCUGAGAAACCCAAAAGAUCGAAUGGGGAGAUUCAUCGCCAGCUUUAACGGCUUGCGUGCUGCUCGCGAUGCUCGUCUUGGGGACGUGUUAAAGCGUUCUUUUUUGACGGGCACGCGGUAGCUGCGCAAUUUUGUGUCGUUGAAGUCGGUGUGCACUUCUCCCCUAGUAGGACGUCGCGACCCGUUGAGUGUCGGUCUAAGGCCCGCGAGGUUGACUGCCGGCGCGUUGAUUUUUCGAAAUUGACGUCGUCGGUAGACCCGCGGUCGCCCGACCGACUGCUCGGCGGUAUAAAUUGUUUGAAUGUUCAAUGGUAUCGAGCCGCAUUUUUUUAUGCGUUCUUUAUGACUCGUCGGCAGGUGAGCCUCGCCUCGGAUUUACGGACCUGGUGCCGUUGUCGAGCGAGUCGUUUGCCGUUUUGCCGACGAUGUUCUCGGACGGGCUCUAUAAAGGCGCGCGUUCGCGCGCGCCUUUUGUUACCAGUCAGCGACGCUACUGCUUUGGGUAC